AUUCAUCGUCGAGUCAUCCAUUCAACUGAAACUUUUUUUUUUAAGUUAUAUUCGCAAAACACCAAUAUGGUCAGUAUAUUAUAUAUAUCGUCAAUACUAAUUCUGUUCGUCACGACUGUAUAUGGUUCGGGCGAUUCUAAAGCCGAUUAGGAUUCGAUUUUACCGGCUGUAGAAAAAUUGUCGAGCAUGGUGGAAAUGAUCCUACAAGAAGUGGCGGAUUUGAAACAAUCUUCGAUCGAAAAUAAGGCAAAUAUGUACGAACUGCAUGGUUUAUGUCCGGUGAGAUACAACAACAAAUGUUUCUUUGCCGUCUUCGAUUACGCUAUAGGAGUCACUUACGAUAUCGCGGAGGUACUCUGCGACGAAAAACGCGCGAAAUUGGCAAAUGUAUAUACUCUGAAGAACAUAUGCAAGCAUUAGGAAAUUACAUAGGACCUUAUAUUGUGCCCACCAAGGGAGAAAAAACUGUUAUCCACGUAGAUACUGGAAUGAAAUUUACCCCGACAACCGGAAUCAUCACCCGCACUGACGGCACCAAAUCGAAUCUCGACCAAUGACUUCCAGGAUAUCCCAAGUACGCGUCCCAUCGAACAACAAUUGGCUUGAGUGUACAUGGAAACCCACCCGGCAUAUACAUGUACGAUGCACAAAAAAGCUAUGGUUAUGAUGGCGCAUUUUGUGAAAUAAAUC